rnacentral:sRNA from 1 species
UUCCAGCGGGCUCGCCUCUGGUAGAGGAGGUGCUCUUGGCAUGGUCCAGAGAAGGGCAGGAAUUUGGGGGGCUUGCAGUGACCAUAGCUCGUGCACUGAUCCUUAGUGAGAGGCCCAGAUUUCCAAGAGGUCGUUCUGACCCCAGGUGACAAUCCCCAAUUCCUUGGGAAACCUGGACGCAUCCAGCUCCAGGGACCUGUCCGGCAAGUGGUGACAAGCACCGUCCAGGGAGAAAGUAAGGCCCUUACAUACACUUUCCUCCCUCAGUGGCUGACCUGCUACCUGACCCCUGACCCUUUCCAUCCCUCCUCAGCUCUGCUGGCCGUCCGCUCUGACUACCACUGUGCCGUGUGGAAGUUUGGUAAACAGUGGCAGCCAACCCUUCUGCAGGCAAUGCAGGUGGAGAAAGGGGCCACAGGGAUCAGCCUCAGCCCUCACCUGCCCGGGGAGCUGGCCAUCUGCAGCCGCUCAGGAGCCGUCUGCCUGUGGAGCCCUGAGGAUGGGCUGCAGCAAAUCUACAAGGACCCUGAGACCCUCGUGUUCCGGGACUCCUCUUCGUGGCGUUGGGCAGACUUCACUGCGCACCCUCGGGUGCUG